ACAUCAACCAUGAAAGAAAGAUAAAUCAAUUCAUAUAAUAAUUUAUAUAUUUAUUUAAAAUUUAUUAUUAAGUUUAGUUUAAUUCGAUUGAAUUUAAAAAUUAAACUAUAAAUAAAUUAAAUUAUAAAAAAUAAAUGAAGUUAAAAUCAGUUUAAUUUAUGUUGAAUCUUAUAUCGGUUUGAGAUAGAAAUAUGAAUUUUAGAUACUCCUACCUUUUAACUAGUUUUUAGAGUGAGUUAGAUGUGACUCAAAAUUAAUAUGAUAUCAAAUCUUUCUCAUUGAUAUUGAGCCUUUAUCGGAUCGACCUAAAAAUUUAACAGUCAAUAAUAAUAAAAAAAAAUAUUUACUUGGAGCAGUCGACGUUGGGGCUGACUUGGAAGGGAAUAGAGACGCCACAUUUGCCAGCCAGGCCACCAGCCAAGCUAUAGUUAAUACCAGGAAUUUGAGCUGCAUUUGAUUUCAAGCAUUUACAAGCCUGUUGGCGAUCAGGAGUGGUCUUAGCUUCUGCG
rnacentral:lncRNA from 1 species